ensembl:lncRNA
UUUUUGCAGGAAAUAAUUGUAAAUGAUCUUUGUUUUAUGUAUUUAUUUAAUUUUUUUGAGAUGGGGUUUCACUCUGUUCCCUGGGUUGAAAUGCAGUCCCAGGCUCACUGCAGCCUUGACCUCCUGGGCUCAAGUGUUCCUCCCACCUCAGCCUCCCGAAAUGAUCUUUGUUUUAAACACAUCUCUGCAGAACUGAUCUUUCAGGAACUGUCUGAACACUGAGACAAAUGACUGGGUGCCCCCUGAAGUCCCUGAUGGUAACAGCACAGGGAAGCUGUUUUGUUAUCGAGUUGGCUCCUGUCUGAGUCAUUUCCAUGAAAUAAACUUUGCUUUGAGCAGGGUGGCUUCUCUUCAACACCAGUUCAGUUUGGUAAGCGUUUCUUCUUUGAGAUGGAGUUUUGCUCUUGUUGCUUAGGCUAGAGUACAGUGGUGCAAUCUUGGCUCACUGCAACCUCUGCCUCCUAGGUUCAAGAGAUUCUCCUGCCUUAGACUCCUGAGUAGCUGGAAUUACAGGUACCCACCGUUAUGCCCCACUAAUUUUUUGUAUUUUUAGUAGAGACAGAGUUUCAUCAUGUUGGCCAGUCUGGUCUUGAACUCCUGACCUCAGGUGAUCCACCCACCUUGGCCUCACAAAGUGCUGGGAUUACAGGCAUGAGUCAUCUUGCCUGGCCUGGCUUUCUGAGGGGCAGUGGUGUGGUGCACAAAGCUUUGGGCAGAAGCAGAGCCUGGGGACUCUGUGAUGGAAGCCCACUGCCUUCCAGCCCCAGCCCGAGCAGCCUGGAGAGAAGAUGUUUGUCUGCCCAUUCCCAGCCCACCCUGAGUUCCCACCCGGUCCCUGGACGCCAGGACUCUUGACUCACUGCAUUCCAGGCCCUAGCUUCUGCGGUUACUACUGGCAAUGGCACACCAGGAGCCCUGGGACUCUGGCUGUGCACCAAGGUCUAGAUUGCAAAGAUGCCUGAAACCAGAGGGGGAAACCAGAGAAGAAUUCAUCAAAAUGAUUAAAAUUGCAAGAAACGGGGGAAGGGAAAGUGAUACCAUUUGCUAUGGUCUGAAUGUGCCCCAUAUACUGAAAAUGUAAUCCCCAAUGCAAUAACGUGGGGAGGUGGCUCCUAGUGGAGGUGCUUAACUCUGCCCUCAUGAAUGGAUUUAUGCCACCAUAAAAAAAGGCUUGUGGCCGGGUGCACAGGCUCACGCCUGUAAUCCUAGUACUCUGGGAGGCUGAGGCAGGUGGUUUGCUUGAGGCCAGGAGUUUGAGGCCAACAUGGCCAAACUCUGUCUCUAUUAAAAGUACAAAAUUUAGCCAGGCAUGGUGGCAGGUGCCUGUAAUCCCAGCUAAUCAGGAGGCUGAGGCAAGAGAAUCACUUGCACUCGAGGGGUGGAGAUUGCAGAGAGCUGAGAUCAUGCCACUGCACUUCAGCCUGGGCAAUAGAGUGAGACUCUGCUCAAAGAAAAAAGGAGGGGGUUGCUUGUGGGCAUGGGCUUUCUCUCUUCUGCUCUUCCAUCAUAUGAGGACAAAGCGUUCACCCUCUCCUGCCCUUCCACCUUCUGCCAUAUGAGGACUCAGCAAGAAGCCCCACACCAAAUGCCAGUGCCUUGACCUUGGACUUCCCAGCCUCCAGAAUCGUGAAAAAUACAUUUCUGUUGUUUACAUAUUAUCCAGUCUUGGGUAUUCUGUUGUAGCAACACAAAACAGACUAAGACAUCAUUCUAAGGCAUGAGUGAGCAAUUCUGUCUUCUUAGCACAGAAGAAAAACAAAGGAAACUCAAGAGAGGAGGUAAUAACUGAGCAGAGAUUUGGGAGUUGAGUAGGAGAUUAUAAAGGCUAAGAGGAGGAGGACACCCAGGCAGAAGGGACAGACUGGGACAAGGAGGCAUGAGACAGAACAAGGCUCAGGAACCUGUGAGUGGGGCAGGAGUGUGAGGUG